rnacentral:rRNA from 1 species
UACGUAGGUGGCAAGCGUUGUCCGGAUUUAUUGGGUUUAAAGGGUGCGUAGGCGGCUUGAUAAGUCAGUGGUGAAAGCCGAUCGCUUAACGAUCGAACUGCCAUUGAUACUGUCGGGCUUGAGUAUAGAUGAGGUAGGCGGAAUUGACAGUGUAGCGGUGAAAUGCAUAGAUAUUGUCAAGAACACCAAUUGCGAAGGCAGCUUACUAAGUUAUAACUGACGCUGAGGCACGAAGUGCGGGGAGUCAAAACAGG